rnacentral:piRNA from 1 species
UCCCAAAGGAGGUUGUUCUGGGGUCCUA